rnacentral:rRNA from 1 species
UUAUUUAAUGGCCGCGGUAUUUUGACCGUGCAAAGGUAGCAUAAUCAUUAGUCUAUUAAAUGUGGACUUGUAUGAAUGGUUGGACGAGAUAUAUACUGUCUCAUUUAAAAUACAUAGAAUUUAAAUUUUGAGUUAAAAUGCUUAAGUUUUUUUAUUGGACGAGAAGACCCUAUAGAUCUUUAUUAUUUAUUUAUUUUUAUAAUUUANAUUAUUUUGUUUAAAUUAAAUAACUUAUUUUGUUGGGGUGACAUGGAGAUAUAAUUAACUCUUUAUUUUGUUUUACAAAGAUUUUUGGUUAUUUGACCUUUUAUU